rnacentral:rRNA from 1 species
UACGAGUGCCCCAAGCGUUAUCCGGAAUUAUUGGGCGUAAAGGGUGUGUAGGUUGUCUUGUUAGUCCACUGUGAAAUUCUUCGGCUUAACCGGGGGUUCGCAGUGGAAACGGCAGGACUAGAGGAUGCGAGAGGUGUGCGGAACUCAUGGUGUAGGGGUGAAAUCCGUUGAUAUCGGGAGGAACACCAGUGGCGAAGGCGACUUCCUGGCCUGUUCUUGACGCUGAGGCGCGAAAGCUAGGGUAGCAAACGGG